AUUUUAAAGGGUGACAAACAUGCACUAAUUCUGGACAAAAGUUUGAGUAUUCAUUUAAAGGGCAUACUCUCGACAAUUGAUUACACAUAUAUUAACAAAACGAUAAAAAUACCAAGUCUAAACUAGCUACUUAUAAGCUUAGCCAAACAUUUCCUUAUUUUUUCUCAUUGCUUCUGAUGCUCAUCGCAUUUCUAAUUAUUCCAUUUGACAUCUGUUCUGUACCCUUUAUAAAGUGGGAAUAAAGAA
rnacentral:lncRNA from 1 species